rnacentral:rRNA from 1 species
UCAAGAAACUUCCACAAUGGGCGAAAGCCUGAUGGAGCGACGUCGCGUGAUGGACGAAGUGCUUCGGCACGUAAACAUCUUUUAUGUGGGAUGAAAUUAUUGACAGUACCACAUGAAUAAGGGGCUCCUAACUCUGUGCCAGCAGGAGCGGUAAUACAGAGGCCCCAAGCGUUAUCCGGAAUCACUGGGCGUAAAGGGUGUCGAGGCGGUUGUAUUAGUCGUUCGUAAAAUCUACGAGCUUAACUUGUAGGCGGCGAACGAAACGGUACGACUUGAGGUUUGGAGAGGUGCGUGGAACUCACGGUGUAGGGGUGAAAUCCGUUGAUAUCGUGGGGAACACCAAAGGCGAAGGCAGCGCACUGGCCAAAAUCUGACGCUCACACACGAAAGCUAGGGUAGCGAAGAGGAUUAGAUACCCGAUGUAGUCCCUGAGCGGGCUGGCAAGGCGCAU